GGGGUAUGCUGGAGAGAAUGCAGAGACAGUGUCAUGUAAUUCAGCGUGCUCAAGUGUUUGAAAGUCUUUACUGUCCUGAUGGUGCUGGGCCACCACAGGAAGUGCUUCUGUGCAGCAGGAUGGCAAGCUCACCAGCAGCGUUAAAGAUGAUGACAUCUCUGCAGACGACACACCCGAUGCUCACUGCAGGGCAACAACGCUUCUGAUCUGGAAUUAUUUACAAGUUUCGCCUAUGAAUUGUAAAUAUGCAAUUUGCAAUGGUUCUGCUCAAUAACUCUAAUCUAA